AUGGUAUAUCCUGGUAGUAGUACUAGUAGAAUUGAGAUUGAAUGCACUUUCUUCCCCGUCUUCCACUCUUCUUCCUCCUCUCUUCUUCUUCCUCCUCUCUUCCCCAUCGUCAGUCGCACACCAUUUACCCCCGCUCACUGCUCGCCCACCCGCGCCAUCUUCCUUGUACCAUAUAACUGGAAUUACCGAUGCAAGUCGAAGAAGGAUUGGCCGGUGCUGCCGGCUGGCGUCAAGUUCGAUCCCACGGAUCAGGAGCUGGUCGAGCACCUUGAGGCCAAAGUGAGUGCUGACAGCGCGAGAUUUCAGUCUCUCAUCGAUUUGUUCAUACCAACCAUCGACAGCGAGCACGGCAUAUGCUACACCCAACCUGAGAAACUUCCAGUCGGAGUGCGGCAUGCACGCGAUGUGGCACAAGACCGGCAAUACCUUGCCGGUGAUGGUCAACGGCCGGCAAGACGGGCAGAAAAAAAGGUUCUGGUGCUGCACACCAACAAGAACUUCGACCAGCAGAGGACCAACUGGGUGAUGCACCAGUACCACCUCAGGGACCUGGAGCAAGAGAAGGAGCGGGAGCUGGUCCUCUGCAAGAUUUUCUACCAGAUGAACACUAGGGCCAGGAGUAAAAAGAUUAUAAGUCGAGCAAGUUUCAACUGGGCUGUAGACUGCCAAGGGUUGGUUUUGUUUUUAACAGGCCCAACCCAUGACAACAACGGGGCACAAAGAUCCAGCAGUUCAACUCGACAGCUGAACCGACCUAACUUUUCCCCAAUUGUUGCCAACCACUUAGAUGAACUGAACAAUAUAGCCCCGAAAUACUACUACUACUGCUACUGCGGAGGGGCUUUGUACUACUUCCGGCUACCUCUCCUCUGCCGAGCAUGCUCAGUAAGAGGCGGAGGAGGAGGAGCCUACCGACGAGCUGGGCAACCGCAAUGCAGUGCCUGCCACUAA
rnacentral:rRNA from 1 species